ACUCUUAAACUGCUGUAAGGUUUGACUUCCUCCCCUCUCCUAGGCUCCUGCCACACAAAUACACCAGUAUUGCUUUCUGCUGACACUUUUGCACCUGGCACCUUCUUGAUUUCCCAGAAUGUAGAAAAGACAGCUGGAUUCUCACAGGUUCAUCUGUUGAAAGUUGCCUGCUCAAAUGAAGAACAAACAGACAAACCUGGCCAACACCUCCAAAUGCGGACUCUGCAGUUUUCAGCCCAAUUGCAAUCCCACCCAAACUUAUUGUCUUCCAAUGAGGAUCAGUGGAAGUGACAUGAGUGUCACCUUGGUUGGUUCCACACAAAGAUUCAAAGCAAAAUGAUGUAUUUAAGAGGGAUCUGAUUGUGAAGAACAUAGAGGCUGCAGAAGACAGUGGAAAAAGUUAUGGAAACAUUUGUGCAAGAAGCUGAUAAAUGGGUGGAUGAUGUAAACUUUAUUAGUGGAGCAGAUGACUUAAUGAUUUAACAUUAAAGGUUGAAAGUGGGACAGUGUGAUGUAGUGUGGUAAAGAUGCUCACAAGAACAGUGCCCCAGAAGGGAUUGCUGAAGUGGGCCCUGGUCCAAAUGAUUGGCAAGAGAGAUUGUUAGUAGAGGUUGAUGUGGGUGUGGGGAGAAUAGUGACAAAGAUCAGGGCUGAGAAUAAUAAGGACUUGAUCAAGAGUUUGAGCAAGAAAUACCUGAUUUCAAGACAUAUGUAUUCAUUUUAUCCAAUAGUUUCUAACUGGAUAAAAAUGAACUGAAAGUGUGUGUCUGUAUCUGUGUGUGUGUGUGUGUG